AUGAGUCAAGCUUUGUGUCAAAAGGACAAAUUAAAAGGACCUAUAAAUGGCACCACCCAGCCCAAUGGACAGAUGCCCCAGGCUGCAGAUUCUGUCAGUGCUGUUCUCGAAGAGGCCCAGGCACAUGCUGAAACAUGGAAGGUAAAACCAGCAAGCAGCUGGCAUACAUUCCACCCAGCCGUCCCCCAGGAGAAUUGCUUGAGCUCCGGAGUUCCAGACCAGCCUGGGCAACAGAACAAGGGCUCAUCUCUACUAGAAAUCAAAAAAUUAGCCAGGAUAAGAAGCCAGCCCUCGGGAACCACCAGGAGCCAGGAGCACCCCCGGCCCCCCAAGGCCCCAAGUCCAGCCUGCCCCACCCCCUCCGGUGCAGAGGUCCUGUGA
rnacentral:lncRNA from 1 species